UCUGACAGCAUGUGUAGAUAAACAUUUAGCAACAGUUUAAAACAAAAAUCAUGUAAAUCAGCUUGGUUUUGCAACACAAAGGAAUUUAUAUUUUUAGCAUGGUGGAAGAGAAUUUUCAGAAAUUUAUGUAAUCUUUUUCCUUUGGGUGGUAAGAUUAAUUCUUGUCUCCCGGAGGAAUAUGGAAAAUAAUCAGAUUUUAUGGGCUUAAAUAAUAUUUUUAAAUUGUAAAUGGGAUUUUUUUAUUCACCCAGGCACUAAUUACAACAAGCAUGCACAUUUUGGUGCAUUCAAGAAUGGAAAAUCAGAAUAGCAGCAUUCUUCUGGUGCAGCUCAGUGGAAGAUGAUGACAACCAGAAGACAUGAGCUAAGGGUAAGGGACUGUUCUUCUGAAGAAUCUUUCCAUUUAGUGAUCAAGAUAUGGAAGCUGAAAUCUGAAAAUACUCAGUAUGCAUUCUGAUUGUUUGUAGUAUCAUUUGAAUUGUAACGUGCAUUUUAGCAGCAAUGUUCCCAAUCAACAUAUUGGGAAAAUAUAAUAAAAUAUGCCAGUUGUUACUA